UCCCUCACCAGGGCCGGAAAGACCGACGGCACGUGCCGGCGCCGGACGCCCAUCUCCAUCGCAGCAGCCCGCGCCUCCUUGAGCGAGAGCGUUAAAGCGCUCAGAGGAUGUUAGGACGGGAAGUUGCCGCCCUAACUUCCAAAUUUGGGGACUGAACAUCGUUCACCGAAUACACUUUGUGAUGACUGCAUUCCGUAACCAAAUUGUUGGUGGCAAUAUUGGUAUUAUGGGAUACACCAAGUUGAAGUAAUUAUGAUGGUACCUUUGAAGCUGAAAUUUUUGACAUGAGAUAGAAAUAUGAAAGCUUAAUCAGGCUAUAUAAACAUCCUGUAGUUCUGAAUUUCAGUUGGAGGCCUCAGUAUGAUUAACAGUAUGGUUAAUCUUUAAAAACACAUCUCUCCUACGUGCUCCAUUGAAAAGGCCUAGAGACAAGCUACCCAGGAGGAAGAAGCACCCCCUUGCGCUCACACUGUGAUCUCUACCAACCAUUUCCCAUUAAAAGAAACACUGACUCCAUAGAACAAUGGAUGAUCUUGGGUCUGGAGCAGGAAAUGUACAAGAUAAGCCUGCAACAUCUUACAUCAGGAAGCAGCAAAGCAAUCAAAAGGCUAUUAGGGUCAUAUCAAAAGGACUCAGGAUCCACCUUGAAAACCUUCCUACUGGCCAAAGAUAGGAUGAUUUAAAACAUAAAUAAAGGUAACUGUAAUUGGAUGAAGGACAGAUACAUUUAAGUAAUCAUAUCAGACACGACCAAUCAACCAAACAUGCAAGCCAAAAAGGUAUCGCUGUUCAUUUUUAAUGACAGAAGGAAACCAACUCUUAUUCUGAAAACUGGUAAACAAAGGGAAAGAAUCAGGAAUAUUUAUACUGUCUUUCCUGUAUGAAUUAUGAUGCAAAUAACAAAAUAACUGAAGUAAAUUUUUUAUGGAAACAUUCCAACUACUAAAUGAAAAAGAAAUGACAAUAUCACUCCACAAGCUCUGUGAACUAAUAGAUUUAAGAAGUGAUCAUCAAUUAUUUCUUUAUCACAACUGAGAAACCAUCAGGAAUUAUCUGUCUCCUGCUGGAAGAAUACACUUCCACCUAAUGAAGUAUUUUUGUUGAAAAAUAAUUGCCUUUAGAUUUAAACACAGGAGGCGGAACACACUAACAAAAGGUAAGAAAUCAACAUCCAGAUGGAGGGAAACUAUAGGACAAAUGACCUAGUUUUUUCUACAAAUAAGAAACUUCAUCGAAAUUGCAAGAAUUAAGAAAAAGAGAGACAGAGAUGGAAGAAUGCAUGGCUUAAAAAAUUUGAGACAAAUCCAACAAAUUACAAUGAGUAAAUUGCUAACAAUAUCAGCAGAAUGUAGUAUACUGGUUCUCUCAUCCAACUGUUAGACCAUAAUUAAAAGGUGUUGACAUUUUUAAUGAAUAAAUUUUGGCUGUAACUGAUCUAUAUGCUUAUGAUUUUACAGAAAAGCAGUAGGAAAAGUAGCACCAUAUAAUUAAUUAUUGAAAUCAUAGACUCUGGAGCCAAACUGCACAAAUUAGAAUCCCAGCUUUGCCACUUACUUGCCAUAUGACCUUGAGCAAUUUACUUAAUCUUUAUUUUUAAAAAUGGGGGUGAUAAUGGCAUCCAUUUUAAAAGGUUGACUUGAUGAUAAAGUGUGGGUACACACUUCCUUUUCCAAAAUCCUUGGGUCCCUGUGUGUGUCUGAACUUUAAAAAAUAGAAUAGAUAUGCCCAUCGUUUAACUUAAUACCCC
rnacentral:lncRNA from 1 species